rnacentral:rRNA from 1 species
UCGGGAAUUUUGGGCAAUGGGCGAAAGCCUGACCCAGCAACGCCGCGUGAAGGAUGAAGUCUUUCGGGAUGUAAACUUCGUAAGAAUAGGAAGAAUAAAUGACGGUACUAUUUGUAAGGUCCGGCUAACUACGUGCCAGCAGCCGCGGUAAUACGUAGGGACCAAGCGUUGUUCGGAUUUACUGGGCGUAAAGGGCGCGUAGGCGGUUUGUCAAGUCAGUUGUGAAAUCUCCGAGCUUAACUCGGAACGGUCAACUGAUACUGUCAAACUAGAGUACAGAAGGGGCAAUCGGAAUUCUUGGUGUAGCGGUGAAAUGCGUAGAUAUCAAGAGGAACACCUGAGGUGAAGACGGGUUGCUGGGCUGAUACUGACGCUGAGGCGCGAAAGCUAGGGUAGCAAAC